UACGUAGGGACCAAGCGUUGUUCGGAUUUACUGGGCGUAAAGGGCGCGUAGGCGGCGCGGUAAGUCCCUUGUGAAAUCUCUGAGCUUAACUCAGAACGGCCAAGUGAUACUGCAGUGCUAGAGUGUGGAAGGGGCAAUCGGAAUUCUUGGUGUAGCGGUGAAAUGCGUAGAUAUCAAGAGGAACACCUGAGGUGAAGACGGGUUGCUGGGCCAACACUGACGCUGAGGCGCGAAAGCCAGGGGAGCAAACGGG
rnacentral:rRNA from 1 species